AGGAGUGUGUAACAACUCACCUGCCGAAGCAACUAGCCCUUAAACCUGUUAUGGGGCUUAAGUUGUAUACCUAUACAUUACCGCUAAAGUUGAUGAUUUAUAUUACUUGUGAUAUAAAUUUUGAAACUUUAGUGAGUAGGAAGGUACAAUGGUAUGCGUAGAAGUGUUUGGCGUAAGCCUGCAUGGAGCUGCCAUUGGUACAGAUCUUGGUGGUAGUAGCAAAUAAUCGAAUGAGACCUUGGAGGACUGAAGUGGAGAAGGGUUUCGUGUGAACAGUGGUUGAUCACGAGUUAGUCGGUCCUAAGUUCAAGGCGAAAGCCGAAAAUUUUCAAGUAAAACAAAAAUGCCUAACUAUAUAAACAAAGCGAAUAUAAUACACUUGAAUAAUUUUGAACGAAAGGGAAUACGGUUCCAAUUCCGUAACCUGUUGAGUAUCCGUUUGUUAUUAAAUAUGGGCCUCGUGCUCAUCCUGGCAACAGGAACGACCAUAAAGAAGCCGUCGAGAGAUAUCGGAAGAGUUUUCUUUUCUGUUUUAUAGCCGUACUACCAUGGAAGUCUUUCGCAGAGAGAUAUGGUAGAUGGGCUAGAAGAGCAUGACAUAUACUGUUGUGUCGAUAUUUUCUCCUCGGACCUUGAAAAUUUAUGGUGGGGACACGCAAACUUCUCAACAGGCCGUACCAAUAUCCGCAGCUGGUCUCCAAGGUGAAGAGUCUCUAGUCGAUAGAAUAAUGUAGGUAAGGGAAGUCGGCAAAUUUAGAUCCGUAACUUCGGGAUAAGGAUUGGCUCUGAAGAUUGAGAUAGUCGGGCUUGAUUGGGAAACAAUAACAUGGUUUAUGUGCUCGUUCUGGGUAAAUAGAGUUUCUAGCAUUUAUGUUAGUUACUUGUUCCCCGGAUAGUUUAGUUACGUAGCCAAUUGUGGAACUUUCUUGCUAAAAUUUUUAAGAAUACUAUUUGGGUUAAACCAAUUAGUUCUUAUCAAUUAUAACGAUUAUCAAUUAACAAUCAAUUCAGAACUGGCACGGACUUGGGGAAUCCGACUGUCUAAUUAAAACAAAGCAUUGUGAUGGCCCUAGCGGGUGUUGACACAAUGUGAUUUCUGCCCAGUGCUCUGAAUGUCAAAGUGAAGAAAUUCAAGUAAGCGCGGGUCAACGGCGGGAGUAACUAUGACUCUCUUAAGGUAGCCAAAUGCCUCGUCAUCUAAUUAGUGACGCGCAUGAAUGGAUUAACGAGAUUCCUACUGUCCCUAUCUACUAUCUAGCGAAACCACAGCCAAGGGAACGGGCUUGGAAUAAUUAGCGGGGAAAGAAGACCCUUUUGAGCUUGACUCUAAUCUGGCAGUGUAAGGAGACAUAAGAGGUGUAGAAUAAGUGGGAGAUAUUAGACCUCGGUUUGGUAUCGUCAAUGAAAUACCACUACUCUUAUUGUUUCCUUACUUACUUGAUUAAAUGGAACGUGUAUCAUUUCCUAGCCAUUAUACGGAUAUAUUUAUUAUAUCUUAUGGUAUUGGGUUUUGAUGCAAGCUUCUUGAUCAAAGUAUCACGAGUUUGUU
rfam:Drosophila sechellia strain Rob3c scaffold_8792 genomic scaffold, whole genome shotgun sequence.